rnacentral:rRNA from 1 species
GCCUAAUACAUGCAAGUCGAGCGCAGGAAGCUCACGGAACUCUUCGGAGGGAAGUGAAGGGAAUGAGCGGCGGACGGGUGAGUAACACGUAAGGAACCUGCCCCAAGGAUUGGGAUAACUCCGAGAAAUCGGAGCUAAUACCGAAUAGUUCUUCAGACCGCAUGGUCUGAUGAUGAAAGGCGCUCCGGCGUCACCUUGGGAUGGCCUUGCGGUGCAUUAGCUAGUUGGUGGGGUAAUGGCCCACCAAGGCGACGAUGCAUAGCCGACCUGAGAG